rnacentral:rRNA from 1 species
UACAGAGGGUGCGAGCGUUAAUCGGAAUUACUGGGCGUAAAGGGCGCGUAGGCGGCUUUCAAGUUGACUGUGAAAGACAGGGGCUUAACCUCUGGCUGUCAGUCAAGACUGUAGAGCUCGAGUAGGGUAGAGGUGAGUGGAAUUUCCGGUGUAGCCGGUGAAAUGCGUAGAUAUCGGAAAGAACAUCAGUGGCCGAAGGCGGCUCACUGGACCCAUACUGACGCUGAGGCGCGAGA